rnacentral:rRNA from 1 species
AUUGAACGCUGGCGGCAUGCCUUACACAUGCAAGUCGAACGGCAGCGGACCUUCGGGUGCCGGCGAGUGGCGAACGGGUGAGUAAUAUAUCGGAACGUACCUUUCAGUGGGGGAGUAACGUAGCGAAAGUUACGCUAAUACCGCAUAUUCUGUGAGCAGGAAAGCAGGGGAUUCGCAAGACCUUGCGCUGAUUGAGCGGCCGAUAUCAGAUUAGCUAGUUGGUGAGGUAAAGGCUCACCAAGGCGACGAGUCUGUAGCGGGUCUGACGAGGAUGAUCCGCCACACUGGAACUGAGACACGGUCCAGACUCCUACGGGAGGCAGCAGUGGGGAAUUUUGGACAAUGGGCGCAAGCCUGAUCCAGCCAUGCCGCGUGAGUGAAGAAGGCCUCGGUUGUAAG